rnacentral:rRNA from 1 species
UACGUAGGGCGCGAGCGUUGUCCGGAAUUAUUGGGCGUAAAGAGCUCGUAGGUGGUUUGUUGCGUCUGCCGUGAAAACCCGAGGCUUAACCUCGUGGCUUGCGGUGGAUACGGGCAGACUUGAGGUAGGUAGGGGAGAAUGGAAUUCCCGGUGUAGCGGUGAAAUGCGCAGAUAUCGGGAGGAACACCGGUGGCGAAGACGGUUCUCUGGGCCUUACCUGACGCUGAGGAGCGAAAGCGUGGGGAGCGAACAGG